rnacentral:rRNA from 1 species
GUCGAACGGUAACAGGUCUUUCGGGAUGCUGACGAGUGGCGGACGGGUGAGGAAUACAUCGGAAUCUGCUCAGUCGUGGGGGAUAACGCAUGGAAACGUGCGCUAAUACCGCAUACGACCUUCGGGUGAAAGCAGGGGAAUCUCUCGGGAUCCUUGCGCGAUUGAAUGAGCCGAUGUCGGAUUAGCUAGUUGGUAGGGUAAAAGCCUACCAAGGCCACGAUCCGUAGCUGGUCUGAGAGGAUGAUCAGCCACACUGGGACUGAGACACGUCCCAGACUCCUGCGGGAGGCAGCAGUGGGGAAUAUUGGACAAUGGGGGCAACCCUGAUCCAGCCAUACCGCGUGGGUGAAGAAGGCCUUCUGGGUUGUAAAGCCCUUUUGUUGGGGAAGAAAAACAACGGGUUAAUACCCCGUUGGUAUGACGGUACCCAAAGAAUAAGCACCGGCUAACUUCGUGCCAGCAGCCGCGGUAAUACGAAGGGUGCAAGCGUUACUCGGAAUUACUGGGCGUAAAGGGUGCGUAGGUGGUUGCGCCAGUCUGUCGUGAAAGCCCUGGGCUUAACCUGGGAAUGGCGAUGGAAACUGUGCAACUAGAGUGUGACAGAGGGUGGUGGAAUUCCUGGUGUAGCAGUGAAAUGCGUAGAGAUCAGGAGGAACAUUCGUGGCGAAGGCGGCCACCUGGGUCAACACUGACACUGAGGCACGAAAGCGUGGGGAGCAAACAGGAUUAGAUACCCUGGUAGUCCACGCCCUAAACGAUGCGAACUGGAUGUUGGGUCCAACUUGGGAUUCAGUAUCGAAGCUAACGCGUUAAGUUCGCCGCCU